AGCAGUGACCCUGAACAUCCUUUCCACUCAGUACCAAAUGCAGUCAAUCCUGUGACUUGAUGGUGUGUGGACAUCACUUUCAGAUACUGGCCAUAGGUCAUGAAACACAAGGAAAGAUGGAGGAACUGUCACAGACCAGGGGAGAUGACAACUAAGUGCAAUAUGGUGUCCUGGAUGGAAUCCUGGAACAGGAAAGAGACAACUUUGGAAAGAUCAGAGAAAUCCCAACAGAACUAUAGGAAUCUGAACUGUGCAAAAGAAUUAUCACUCACUGCAAGUCCCAGAGUGAACACUUUCUAUGAGAUACUCCAACAGCACAAUGUGUCAUGGAGCCAGGGGGACUGGGUUCGAAUCCCUGUUCUGCAGCAUAGCAGUUAUCUUUGGAUGCAUCACGUAACCUGUCUGACCUCCUGUUUCCUUUGGGAGAAUAAUAUCCACCUCACACAGUUGUGAGGUUUCAUGGGGCAGUGCUAGCAUACAUGCCAGCACCUGACACUUAGUAGGUGCUGCUGGAACUUAGGUUUCUGUUUUUCUCUCCUCUUUCCUCUCCAAAGAGAACAAGGUGUCUCUGCCAGGAUUAACAGAUCAAAACAACCUUUCUGGAAGUUUAGUUCAAGGGCAGAUCCUUUAGGGGAACAUGAACAGCUUUAUAAAUUGCCUUCAAAAGUAGCACCAAAUCCUUCAGUCAGUUUUAAAGGAACUGUUUACCACUGCAUAUGGCAGUCAUUAUUUGGAAUAAUAAACCCUCUGAGAAUCUGAACA
rnacentral:lncRNA from 13 species